ensembl:lncRNA ATP8B1-AS1 ATP8B1 antisense RNA 1
ACUUCCGCGUUUCUGGCGCGUGGUCUUGCAUUUCCUACUUGGUCCUGUUCGUGGCGCCGCGCCUCCGGGUGUUGGGGAGUCCGGGAUGAUGGGGAAUCCGGGGCUCGCCCUAGUCGCGGGGACACCGCCUUCCAGGAGCUGUCCCCAGGCAAACUCACAGACAUCUUCAAAGAGCCUUCUUGGACAUUCUGCUUUUUGCUCCUCAUAACAGGCUUCGAUGGAGUUUCUCUCUUAUUUUCCAGGCUGCAGUACAGUGGCGUGAUCUCGGCUCACUGCAACCUCCACCUCCCAGGUUCAAGCGAUUCUCCUGUCUUAGCCUCACGAGUAGCCGGGAUUACAGGCACAUGCCCCCAUUCCCAGCUAAUUUUUGUAUUUUUAGUAGUGACGGGGUUUCAUCAUAUUGGUCAGGCUGGUCUCAAACUCCUGACCUCAGGUGAUCCGCCUCGGCCUCCCAAAGUGUUGGGAUUACAGGCGUGAGCCACCCACUGUAUCUCUUGUUCGGAGGAAUAUCUAAUCAAGAAAAUCAUUUUUACUGUUUUUAUUUUUUGGUUUGUUCGUUUUUUUCCUGUGAGAUGGAGUUUCACUCUUGUUGCCCAUCCUGGUGUACAAUGGCGCGAUCUCGGCUCACUUCAACCUCCGCCUCCCAGUGCGUCCGGAAUUGGUGGGUUCUUGGUCUCACUGACUUCAAGAAUGAAGCUGCGCACCCUCACGCAUCUCACUCCCACUGCCUAGGCUGGAGUGCAGUGGCACAAUCUCUGCUCACUACAGCCUCAACCUCCAGGAUUCAAGUGAUCUGCCCAUCUCAGCACCACCCGCAGCCCCCAAGUAGCUGGGACUACGCAACUCGCUGCCAAGCCACCAAACAAUUUGUGUUUUUUCUAGAGAUGGGGUUUUGUCAUGUUUGCCAGGCUCAUUCUUACUGUUGAACUGAAUAAUUGAUUUUACCUAGUAAUGAUAUUUUUUAGUUCAUGAACAUAACCAGAUUCACACAAACACACUAUUUUUCUAUAGCAAUCUGUAGGAAUCACAUGCAGAAGAAAAAUCCUUUUCUCCAUAAUAAAACAAGUGAAAGUCAAAGUCUAAUUUGAAAUGUUUUCAAUAAUAAA